CCUACGGGAGGCAGCAGUGGGGAAUCUUGCGCAAUGCGCGAAAGCGUGACGCAGCAACGCCGCGUGAGGGGAGACGGCCUUCGGGUUGUAAACCUCUUUCAGUUGGGACGAAGCCACGGCGGUUAAUACCCGUCUGUGGUGACGGUACCUUCAGAAGAAGCCCCGGCUAACUACGUGCCAGCAGCCGCGGUAAUACGUAGGGGGCAAGCGUUGUCCGGAAUCAUUGGGCGUAAAGCGCGUGUAGGCGGCUUGGUAAGUCCGCUCUGAAAGCCCGGGGCUCAACCCCGGGAGGCGGGUGGAUACUGUCAAGCUCGAGUCCGGAAGAGGCGAGUGGAAUUCCUGGUGUAGCGGUGAAAUGCGCAGAUAUCAGGAGGAACACCAAUGGCGAAGGCAGCUCGCUGGGACGUGACUGACGCUGAGACGCGAAAGCGUGGGGAGCAAACAGGAUUAGAUACCCUGGUAGUCCACGCCGUAAACGAUGGGCACUAGGUGUGGGAGGUGUCGACUCCUCCCGUGCCGAAGCUAACGCAUUAAGUGCCCCGCCUGGGGAGUACGGCCGCAAGGCUAAAACNCAAAGGAAUUGACGG
rnacentral:rRNA from 1 species